rnacentral:sRNA from 1 species
GGAUAGCCCGUCACACAAAGGGUUCAGUGAAAUAAAGCCCCGCGUGCAGGGGCUUUUUUGUUUCUGAAAGUGAACAUUUUAACCUUUUGAUUAGGUUUAUUCGCUGGGCUAUACGCCCUUUUUUU